UGACCUCGGAUCAGGUAGGAAUACCCGCUGAACUA
rnacentral:rRNA from 1 species